ACUGACUUAGAAGGGCUGGGGCAUCUAUGCCAGGCUAACCUUUAUAACUUUAAAACCAUAAACCUUAUAAAGCCAUAACCUUAAAAACACAUAUGUGUUGUUUUCUUGUGCAUGCAAUCUUUUUAAAAAUUAAACUAACAUAUUUAUGUAUUACUGGAAUAGCUCCUUAUAUUAUUUGGCCUUUUUUUCCUCUGCACAGCUAGACUGUAUACUCAAAAGACAUCAGAACUGUGUUUAUUAUCUUUAUCUAAUAAAAUCUAUCAAAUUGGGGGGGAGGGAGGAUUAGAGAGAUGGCUGAACAGUUACGAACACUGGUUGCUCUUCCAGAAGUCCCGAGAUCAAUUCCAAGCACCCACAUGGUGACUCAUGACUAUAAUAUAGCACUACCUUAAUAUAAUUUAUAAAUGACUGAGACUUUUCAUUAUAUUAAUACAUUUCAUUAUAUGAGUUCUCAACCCUUGAAACAGGUCUCCAGGAACCAUCUAAGGAUCUUUGAUUGUCCGAUUUUUACAUCAUCACUGAAAGAAAAGAAAGCCUUGUGGUUAUCAUAGGAACUGUCUCAUAUACCACAAAAAUCUACCAGCAAUAUAGGAAAUCUUUAAGAGUUCAUCUUCUGAUGCCAAAUGUGGCCCACUCCAGUUCUACAAGCAAAUCUGACAGAAGAGAGCACCUGUGUCCACCAGCUCACACAUACAAGAUUCCUCCUGGUGGCUAAGGCUGUUUGUGUCCCUGGUUUGGGGCCAGUGAGACUUGACAAGGAACACUGAUGGGAAACAGUUGGCGGGAGGAUUCUUCACUUCUGAGCCGUAGCCCAAAUGGAGGUUUCAGGCUCCUGACGUCUCGUGUUCUUCCUCUCAGGUGACUUGCUUUCUACAUGCCUUAACUGUGCCCUCUGUUGUAUCUACUAUGAUAAACCAGUAGCAAGGACAUUACUGUCGUGAGAAAUGGAGAACAUAACAGACUAAGGUGAUGGAAGGAAAGAGUCUUGUCAACAUCUUGGCCUUGCAGUCUCCAGCUUCCACACUGUCAAGAAAUGAGUAUCUAUUGUUUAAUCAAAAAAGUGUUUUCUGCUCUUAAGCAAAAGGACAAUGCUGUACUUACCUUCCAGCUGUCCCCUUCUCUGCCCUCAGACUGUGACAAUCAUGUUUUGACCACAAGAACAAGAUGUAAGACCCAAGGAGAGAGGGGGAGAGGGAGGAUGGCUCAUGGACACCAAAAUACGGACAGAAGUAAUAAAUUGUUCUGUUCUACAAAACAAUAGAAUAGGUGUCCCCACAGUAACUGCUGCCAUAGUCCAUAAAAGUCACUAGAAGGGAGAUGUUUGUUGGCUUCGAACACAAAGCAACAAUGACAGAAAGAGGAACAGCUCUGAUUUGAUUAGUGCCUGUGGUACAGACACAUGUAUUGAAAUGUCACUUGACCUGCUGGUCCAGCUCAGUGAGAGCCCAGUGCUUUUUACUUGAAGUCUGGAAAGCUGGCCGAUUUGUAUUGUUGACAAUGUUGGGGACAAAGAGUAGAUGAUGAAGAAUUAAAGACGUGGUUGCAUCAGAAUUGUAGUACUUGGAGACUUGUUAUUCCCUCUGAGUGUCCUACUUCCCUGCGGGGGUCUCGGUCCACCAUGGCCCACAAAGUGAUGUGGGAGGCAAGAAGGUAGUAAGAUCAACACAACUCAGUAGCUGGAGUUCAUUCAAACUUCAGGAGUCUCCCCCUGAGUAGCUUAUUUCAGGCACACUUAAGCAGGGCACAAUUUGGUGAAAAUCUUCCUCACAGUAACUAAUUCUGUAUGCACAAUAAAGUUUGAGAUGUGACUACAUUGAAGCUCUUUAUGAAGUAGAUAUGACGUCUUCCAUAAAGACGGCUUCUAUAGAUUGACAGGCGCAUGAUAGGGGUCUGGGGGAGGCUCCAGUGUGGUCUUGACACACGAAUACUGCAAAGGUGGCCGGGCUGUCAACCAUCUCUGCUCCCAGCCUUCUGUGCAGAUAAAGAGGUUAUGCAUCCCUGCCUUAGAAAGAACCUCCGUGUGUGUUUAACAUUCUUGUUUCCUUUGGUGCUUAACUGUGAGCACGAGGACUCCAUGCUCCUAC
rnacentral:lncRNA from 1 species